rnacentral:lncRNA from 1 species
CGUACCGUGAUAUGUCACCCACAUGACAUGACAUAUAUUAGAUACUAGGGGAUUCGGAUCCCCUCCAAUUUUAAGGCUUCUCUUCCCUAUAAAAUCGGCAACGUGGCUGCCGAUGAUGUAGGAGACGCUGAAUGGAAAUCACCGCCUCAUAUGGAAGUCAAGGAGCCCUAUGUGAUCAUAGGCUGUGUGAGCGAUGGUCCGAUAGCCUGAGUUUAGAGACUGGACCUGUCUAAAUCCAUAUAAGAAUUAGAGGAUCCCGGCCCCUGGAUAGGAGGACGCAAAGCGAAUGUGAGAGC